rnacentral:rRNA from 1 species
AACGAACGCUGGCGGCAUGCCUAACACAUGCAAGUCGAACGAGACCUUCAGGGUUAGAGUCGCACUGCUGCGUAACGCCUGGCAACCUGCCCUUAGGUUCGGAAUAACUCCCCGAAAGGGGUGCUAAUACCGGAUAAUGUCUUCGGUCCAAAGGUUUAUCGCCUUUGGAUGUGCCCGCGUUGGAAUAGCUAGGUGGUAGGGUAAAAGCCUACCAAGGCGACGAGCCAUAGCUGGUCUGAGAGGAUGAUCAGCCACACUGGGACUGAGACACGGCCCAGACUCCUACGGGAGGCAGCAGUGGGGAAUAUUAGACAGUCGUCGAGAGCCUGAUCCAGCAAUGCCGCGUGAGUGAUGAAGGCCUUAGGGUUGUAAAGCUCUUUUACCCGUGAUGAUAUUGACAGUACCGGAAGAAUAAGCUCCGGCUAACUCCGUG